CGUAUAUUAAAGUUGUUGCAGUUAAAAAGCUCGUAGUUGGAUUUGUGGUUGUGUUUGGGAGCCAUUUUUGGAUUCUUUGAACAUGAUCAUCUUUGGGAGGAAUUCGUGUGGCAUUAGCUUGUUGCAUGGGGGAUACUCAACGUUUACUGUGAAAAAAUCAGCGCGUUCAAAGCAAGCUUAUGCUGUGAAUGUAUUAGCAUGGAAUAAUAAGAUAGGACCUUGGUACUAUUUUGUUGGUUUGUGCACCGAGGUAAUGAUUAAUAGGGACAGUUGGGGG
rnacentral:rRNA from 1 species